rnacentral:miRNA from 1 species
AUGAAAUGUGUAUAUAUGUGUGUGUAUACACAUAUAUACAUAUAUGAACAUACAUACAUACAUACAUAUAUGAACAUAUAUAUACACACACAUACAUAUAUAUAUAUAUAUAUAUA